rnacentral:rRNA from 1 species
AUUGAACGCUGGCGGCAUGCUUUACACAUGCAAGUCGAACGGUAACAGGCCGCAAGGUGCUGACGAGUGGCGAACGGGUGAGUAAUGCAUCGGAACGUGCCCAGUCGUGGGGGAUAACUACUCGAAAGAGUAGCUAAUACCGCAUACGAUCUAAGGAUGAAAGCGGGGGACCGUAAGGCCUCGCGCGAUUGGAGCGGCCGAUGUCAGAUUAGGUAGUUGGUGGGGUAAAGGCUCACCAAGCCAACGAUCUGUAGCUGGUCUGAGAGGACGACCAGCCACACUGGGACUGAGACACGGCCCAGACUCCUACGGGAGGCAGCAGUGGGGAAUUUUGGACAAUGGGCGCAAGCCUGAUCCAGCAAUGCCGCGUGCAGGAAGAAGGCCUUCGGGUUGUAAACUGCUUUUGUACGGAACGAAACGGCUCUGGUUAAUACCCGGGGCUAAUGACGGUACCGUAAGAAUAAGCACCGGCUAACUACGUG